AGCGAUUCAUGUCACUAGAGGUCGCUGUGAGCCAAAUUACUUGGUGUCGCAACGAUGUUUGAGCAGUGAAGAACUUUAAUUUUCUUUGGUUUGACGACCAAAAACUCAAUUAACAGUGUUAAGAAUGAGCAUACACAAUUACACUCAAAGGAAAACUCAUAUUUUUGAAUGGGAUUCCUAUAAUUUUGCAUUAAAACGACGAAGGGUAUUUAAAAACAAACUAAAUGCAAUCUUCGUGAAGGCCCACAAGCAACACAGAAUAUACCCACUGGAGGGCGACAUGGAAAGGCCAAAGACUUCUUCACAUACUCUUGUUUUUCUGUCAUCAUGACCGAAAAGAAAAAGAUGUCGAACAGUUCACAAGAUAUUUCCAGAGAGCAACUGAGGGCCAUAUCAGAUUGGAGACGCAGCCCACCGCAGGUCAGGAUAACAGGGCUCCUACACUGCUUUCCAUUUCCCACAUCAGUUAAGAGACUCUCUCUCAACACUAUAUUUCCUCUAGAUUUCCUUCCCUACCUGUUGCCUUCUCUCUCUUCCUCCCUCCCAAACGUGGUUCUGGGUGGUCUGGGCUCCUCAUUCUUGGCAGUGACUUUUCUGGGG
rnacentral:lncRNA from 1 species